rnacentral:rRNA from 1 species
AGCGAACGCUGGCGGCAGGCCUAACACAUGCAAGUCGAACGAAGCCUUCGGGCUUAGUGGCGGACGGGUGAGUAACACGUGGGAACGUACCUUUUGGUUCGGAACAACUGAGGGAAACUUCAGCUAAUACCGGAUGAGCCCCCGAUUUGGAUUGGGUGGGAAAGAUUUAUCGCCGAAAGAGCGGCCCGCGUUGGAUUAGGUAGUUGGUGUGGUAAAGGCGCACCAAGCCUACGAUCCAUAGCUGGUCUGAGAGGAUGAUCAGCCACACUGGGACUGAGACACGGCCCAGACUCCUACGGGAGGCAGCAGUGGGGAAUCUUGCGCAAUGGGCGAAAGCCUGACGCAGCCAUGCCGCGUGAAUGAUGAAGGUCUUAGGAUUGUAAAAUUCUUUUACCAGGGACGAUAAUGACGGUACCUGGAGAAAAAGCCCCGGCUAACUUCGUGCCAGCCGCCGCAGUAACAC